GACGGAGGAUGCAAGUGUUAUCCGGAAUCACUGGGCGUAAAGCGUCUGUAGGUGGUUUAAAAAGUCCACUGUUAAAGAUUGAAGCUUAACUUCAAAAAUGCCGUGGAAACUUUUAAACUUGAGUAUGAUAGGGGUAGAGGGAAUUUCCAGUGGAGCGGUGAAAUGCGUAGAUAUUGGGAAGAACACCGGUGGCGAAGGCGGCUCACUGGCUCAUUACUGACGCUCAGGCGCGAUAGCGUGGGGAUCAAACAGG
rnacentral:rRNA from 1 species